CCUGACAAGCUCACUGUUAGUAUAAUUUUUGCCAAGGCUUUUUAGGCCAUUGACAAUGUCAGUAAAUCUAGUGAACAUGCAAGUGAUUGUUUCAUUAGAAUCCAUCUUAAAUAAUUCAUACUUAUGAACUAAUAUAUUUAUUUUGGAUUCUUUGACUUGAUUUGUGCCCUCGUGGGUCACUUCAAGUCUAUCCCAAAUCUCUUUUGC
rnacentral:lncRNA from 1 species